CAAUGAAAUGUUACACUCCUGUGAUCUACAAGGGACUUUCACCUUGCAAGCCAAAUGCUAUUAAAAAUGCUGUUCUCCAGUCAGAGCAAGUUCAAUAUGUUAUCAAGCAGUUAGCAAGAGAGAUGGGAGAAUCACCCGAUAUUAUUCAAGAAGAAGCCAUGGAAAUCUUGGAUGAGAUGGGCCACAGUAUGCAAUUAGGAGCUGUCAGAUUUUUUGCGUUUACGUUGAGCAAAAUAUUUAAACAGCUUUUCCAGAGAGUUUGUGUGAAUGAAGAAGGAAUGCAGAGAUUGCAACACGCCAUUCAGGAGCAUCCAGUUGUUCUACUGCCCAGUCACCGAAGCUAUGUAGACUUUUUGAUGCUGUCUUAUUUGCUAUAUACGUAUGACUUGGUGUUGCCUGUCAUUGCUGCAGGAAUAGGCAAGUAUGUUCUUUUAACAAUGUUUCCAGGAUUCAGAGAAUCAGCAAGGAGUCAAGGAGCUGCUACUAUAAGCAGUUGUGUUUAACUUCUGUUCCAAAUAUGUCCUGUUAAUACCUCCCGGGGUGAGAUGCUUACAGCAUCUGAAAGCUUCUCAUCGGUGCUGAGUCCAAUCAAAGGUGAAUUUUUUCAUAGCAAGUUUGCCCACAAGUACCCCAUCUGUAGACCCAAGGCUGGGGCAAAGAUAGCUGUUGUGAAGAAGAUUUCUAUAUUGCUGUUUUUGGCCUGGGAACAGGCAAAAAUGUGCCCAGAAGCUACUGUGUAUGCGGAACCUUUUGUGAUACUUCAUACUGUUUUAAGUGCAGUCGUAGCCAGAUACAAAGUGCCAGCCACCUCGUGCUUGUUGCUGAUGCAACUGAUUCCCUUGGAUGAUUGUGUUAUAAAUUGAGACCACAAUGGAUCAUAAUCCAAUUAUAAUUUUAUUAAUUAUAGCAAGUAGAAUAUGAGCAAAG